GAUUGGUAGUGUAACUUGAAGGU
rnacentral:piRNA from 1 species